AUGCCCAUGACCUGGAAGACUGAGGGACCAUCCUUAAUGAUAUUUAGAAAUCAACAUCAGAUCUUGAAGUUUUAUAUAAAUAUGUAAUUUUGCCGUUAGGAAGAGGAAGAAUCGAUUACAAUCAUCCAGGGAGCUGCUGACUGAUUAACAUGUUCUACGAUCUGUGUAAUCAAUUGUUUAUCAUGAAAUGAAUCAACAGCUGCAGAACCCAGUUGGAAAUAACCCAGGAGCAAAGGAAAACAAGUUGUUUUUUUUUUGGAAGAGACAAAGAAAAUGCAAGGAGCCAAAGCAACUAGAGCACACUUUCAUGCAGGAGGCAGUUUAAAGGUGCUUCUGUUGUGUCAGUGUCUAAGAACUAGCACAAUAAAGUUGCAAGCCUCAGGCCCCAAAGCAGCAUUAACAAUACAUUGUGGGACGAAAACUACCUGUGAACAUAAUUAAAAGGUUGCAGAUCUUGUUUGUAUACCAAGUUUAAUUAUGAUAGCAGAACAAUGACAGUGUUUUUCAUGUCUGUUCAAGUAGAGUGCAUAUUGUAUUUUUACAUGCCAGCAUAACAAGUAU